rnacentral:rRNA from 1 species
GACGAACGCUGGCGGCGUGCUUAACACAUGCAAGUCGAACGAAGUGGCGAACGGGUGAGUAAAGCGUAAUCAACCUGCCCUUCAGAGGGUGACAACAGUUGGAAACGACUGCUAAUUCCGCAUACUGAAGGAGGGGCUUGCGUAUGCUGAGCAAGUUGGAGGGGUAACGGCCCACCAAGGCGAUGAUCAGUAGCCGGUCUGAGAAGAUGAAGGGCGCCAUUGGGAAUGGGACAAGGCCCAGACUCCUACGGGAGGCAGCAGUGGGGAAUCUUCCGCAAUGGACGAAAGUCUGACGGAGCAACGCCGCGUGAGUGAUGACGGCCUUCGGGUUGUAAAGCUCUGUUAAUCGGGACGCGGUACCGGAAUAGAAAGCCACGGCUAACUACGUGCCAGCAGCCGCGGUAAUAC